rnacentral:tRNA from 1 species
AUCUUAAUAGCUUAUAAUAAGAGCAUAAUAUUGAAGAUAUUAAGGAAAAUUUUUUUUAAGAUA